GAGAGAGAGAGAAUUUUUAAUUUAUUAUAAAAUUUAAAUUUCAUAAGUUUAAAAAUUAAAAUUUAUAAUUUAAAAGUUUAUAUUUUAAAUUUUAAAGUAUAAAUAUAAAAUAUAAAAAUUUAAAUUCUAAUAUAAAGAAAAGAAUAAUAUUAUUAUUUUUUAUUUAUAACUACCCACUUUAAUUCUUAUUCCAUCUUACCUAACCAAACGUUAUUUUUUUUAUUUUCAGGAAUAAUCCAAUUUUCAUCCAAACGUAAAAUUGAUCUAAUCCCCGCUUACACCUCAAUUUAUACCUAUUCCCGGAAUACCCACUUUUUGCUUAUCCUCGAACCAAACGAUACCUAAGGGUACAUAUUCAGUCCUUGUCUUGUCAAUUUUUUCAAAAAAAAUGAAAAUUUUAAAUAUUUUGUGAAUCCUAAAACGAGAGAUGUUAGAUUUAUACUCUAUUUUUGAAUGUACCAUCAGCAUUUAUCAUAAGCACCUGGUGUAAGUAGCAAUAUGAGAGAGAGAGAGAGAGAGAGAGAGAGAGAGAGAGAGAGAGAGAGAGAGAGAGACCUGAAGAACCAUCCAACCUGACCAAGCAACGCAGUUGCCAAGAAUGUAGACACAGCCCAAUGUCCAGUUGAGGAUUGGGUUUGAAGAGGCAACAAAAAGGGCUCCUAAUUUACUGUGUGGUUCUGUGUGCAGCAGCACUGGGAGCCCUUUGUAGAGAGUGAUCACAGUGGCCCCUCCUAUGCUAACCACUGUUCCUACCACCUUUGCCAAUCCAUGUCUCCUUUUAAUGUUAACUUGCUCGAGCCUGAUAAAAAAAGCAAGGAGAGAGGGUAAGAUUAAUUACAUAGAGAUGCAGAUUAGAAAUCAAUAGUACAGGACUGUUGAUUAUGUGAAUCUAGUAUCAGUCCCACCUCUUAUAUAUUUUAAUCCUCCAUCACUAAUCACCGAGUUACAACCUUUUUAAAAAUAAAUAAUAUUUUUAUUAAAUGGUUGAAGAUUAAAAAUAGAGAUGGAAUAUAGAACAGAUCAUUAAUGGUUCACGACUAGCUAGCUAGCGUGGUGGACUAGGUAUAGUAAAUAAUUACCAAAGAGAAGAGUGAGAAAGAAAUCUUAAAUAAUGCAAGAUAUAUAUUUGUAUAUUUUCGGUUAAAUGUAAGUUUUUUGUUCUCCCCAUGAGUAGUCACCCUACAUAUGGCACUACCUUAGAGCAGCAGCCAUGGCAAAGGUGAUGGCUGGAACUGUAUUCUGUAUAGCAGAAGCAUAAGUUGGAGACAAAUAAUACAAGCCCAAGAGAUAAAACCCCUGGUUAGCAGUGAUCCUGGAAAUAAAAUAAAUAAAAAGAAGAGCUAGUUAUCAAUCUAAAAGAAUAUACAAGAUCAAAAUUAAGUCGAACACGCAAAGUCCUGCUUUGUACUUACCCACAUAAUGCUAGAAGAAAGAACUGAACCAGCAAAGAGAAGGUUAGAGGUGGUCUAUCUUUCCUGAUAUAUAUAUAUAUAUAUAUAUAUAUAGAAAUGUUGAUAAAGGAUGAAAUGUUGUUAGAGUACAUAAAAGUAUGAAUAAUAUAUAUAUUUUUUAAAGAAAAGAAAAUCUUACUUUUCAAGAAAAUAGGCAAAAGGGGCCAACAAAACCAAGGCAAUCAUGUUCCUAUACACAGGGAAGACAAUCUUGCUGAUGCCCAUGUUGAGAGCAGCUCUUGAAACUACAUGAAACCCAGCAAGACACAGCUGCAGAGAGAGCACAGCUAUGAUGAGCUUAACCUUCUCAGACACAGUUGAGUCCCUCCCCAUUAUCUCUAAUCUCCUCAAGCUGAAUUUGCAAAGAGAUUGGUGUUGGUUGAGGGGAUAGUAUGGGGGGGGGGUGGGUAUAUAUAGUGUGCUUUGGGUGCUUACACAUGAUGAGGUGGUAAAGUCCCCACAUUGGAGGUUUAUUUACUGUGGUGUUUGUUCUGAAUUGGUUUUGAAAAGUGUAGUAGCUACCAUGCAGUAACUUGCCUACCUGACAUAAUCAUUUCUCUUAAUUAAUACACUAGACCAACAUUCCCGGGCCCAGAUAUGAUCUUUACCGCCUCAUUAUUUUGUUACUCAAAAGAUCGAUCUUUUUUUUAAAGUAAAAAGAUUGAUUUAUUAGAAAAUUAUUCAGAAAUAACCUGAAAUAGAUGCAUGACAAGUUGACAAUUAAUUAGUUAAGACUAAAAAUAAUGAUUUAAUAUUAUUGAACACGACGUGAAGAUUUACUCCAUUAAAUAUUUAUGGAGGGUGUCAAACCCAUGGCAUUAGAGAAUGGAAAAGGUUUUUAGUUGGAGGUGAUGUAUGCCAUGCUAUAUGUUGAAAUUAAAGAUUGAUCUAACAGGAGUAGCUGGAAAAUUAUUUUGUAGUACUGUAUUCAAAUGUGGGGCAAAAUUAAUGCAAUUAUUAUUAUAGAUAUUAAACCCUAGUUAGUAUAAAAAAAAUGUGUCAAAUCAAAUAUUAAACCACAAUUUUGUGAAGUAUAUAUGAUUAUAAUAUAUGGUGAGUAACUUGUAAAUGGGUGUGAAUUUAUCUUUCUCUCUCUUGGGUGGAACAUAAGCUUUUGAUGCAUGUACUUGUUGGCACCGAGUUUUUGGGAAUGGUUGGGGGGACAAGGAGGAGUUAGGGCAUGUUGGCCAGGCUGCUUAAUCUUGCAAUCAAUGUGGGGGAUAGACAAUGCAAUUUCUCUAUCUACUUAGCCAUCCUGUUCCCACCAACUUUUCUUUCUAUUCAUAUUCAUAUACUUUGGCAGCCCAUUUCUUUCAACUUAUGGUCUUUCUCCAUUUAUCUUGAAUAUGUUCAAUGACCUUUAAGGGUUUUGUUUAGUUUUUUUUUUUUUGUGUGUGUGUGUGUUUUUGUUUUUGGUGUGACUGUAAGAUCAAAACUCCAACAUUCCCUCUUCAAAAUUUAUAGUUCACUAGGUUCUUCUCAAUAGGGAUGAAAGUGGUUAGGAUAAACUUAUGAUCCUUGUCCAUUUAUCGAAUCUGGCACCGAAUUCGAUAGGAUGCGAAUAUGGAUGUAAAAAAAAUUUAUAUUCAUCGCAUUCGAAUAUAUAUAUAUAUGGAUGCAAAUAUGGUUUUUUUGAAUAGUCUAAUAGUAUGCGAUAGUUUUCACCCCUAAGAAAUAAGAGGGAUGUAAAUAUAUAUUGUAGGAGAGAUAUAGUGAUUUUCUACGUUUUUUUUUUUUAUCUUACUAUAAAUUUCAUGUUCAAAUUGCAUUUAUAUUUGUUAAAAUAUUAAAUUUUAUUGAAUAAAAUAACAAAGUUUGAACAUGAGUGAUUUAACCUUUAGGGUGCGUUUGGUUCGCACUAUAAAAAAUUACUAGCAAUAAAAAGAUGUUUGAAAAUCUUAUUUCUAUUCAUCCUAUUACUAAGAAUGUGGCAAUAUUCCUGUGUUUAGUUCGCAUGGUUAUAUUAUCUAGUCAUGUUGUUUAAGUUUACAAAAAAUAUACAAUUAAUUAAUUUAUUUCUUUAAUUAAUUCACUACAACAGAAUUAGGUUAUAGGGACACAUGUUUGGGACACUUUUGAGUAAGUAUCUCAUUUAUGCUAAAACUUACAAAAACAUCUACUAAUGGCUAAAUAUAAAGCCCAAUCCAACCAAAAAUAAAAGAUUACUCUACUCAACCCACCACACCCUGUCCAUUUGGCCCAAUUACAAACAGAAAAGAAAAAAAAAAAAUCAAUUACCAUCUUUUCUUCUCUCUUCACUCAAUCUACUGAAAUUCUAGACGAAGAGCCUUUCCUGUCGUCCUCCUCCGCCACCGCAGCCAACGAGAUAGAGUUUCGGCAGUUGCUAAAUGCUUAAAUAAGUGUUGGUAAAUUAGUAGCACUCUUUUAAGUUAUAGUGACACUCUUUAACUGUCACUAUAUACCUAGCGACCCCACAUAUAGCAACACUUUUUAAAAGUGUCGGUAAUUUUAGCUAGCAGCACUUUUUUGACAUAUACCUACAUUUAAAAGUGUCGCUAUAGACCGUUUUUGUUGUAGUAAUUUUAUAUAAUGUCACCAAAAAUUUCAACAUCUUUUUGGAAAAAAAGAGAGAGAACAUAGGUUAGAGAGAGAGAAAGCAUAAUUAAAGAAAUAGGAAGAGAAAUAGAGUCGAGAUUAGAGGGAGUUAGAGAGUUGAGAUUUUAGAAAAAGAGGGGGAGAGAGAGCUUAGUUUAGAGAGAAAAAAAGAGUUGAAGUUUAGAGAGAAAAAAAAAAGUUUAGAGAUUAGACAUAUUAUGAUUAUUCCAAUCCAUUGAUAUGAGGAUACCCACCCUCCCUCAAGGGAAUGUGAUUAGUACUUUGAGAUGAAUCUUAUUCCCAAAUAAAUCAAAUAUUACCAACUAGAUUACUUAGUGUGUUUAGCCAAACACCGUCAUAUUUUUUUAUUCCUAUUAGAUUACUAGGAAUCUUAGAAAGAUAGUGCGAAUCAAACGCACCCUUAAUUGCAUUGCAUGUCUUAUUCGCGCUAAUUUUAAUAUAUAUAUAUAUAUAUAUAUAUAUAUAUAUAUCCGAAUAAUAUCCGGAUAUGAAUCUAAUUCAUAUCUAAAUCCGAAUCCUAAUCCGUUUUAAGCCGAUAUGAUAAUGAAAAUUUUGCAUCUGAUACAUAUCCGUAUUCGAAUUCGCAUCCGAAGAAAAAUACGGAAGUGGAUAUAUAUGAUUUUGUCAAAAAACUGACUGUAUAUUCAGCCGUAUUCACCCCUAUUUCUCAACUUCCUGAAAAUACAUAUAUAUAUAUAUAUAUAUAGUUACUAGGAGAAGCCCAUUUACCUGACUAGUACAAUUCGAAUGAUAAAUCCAACUUUUGGAUAUUCUGGGCAGAAAAUAAAUCUAAACAUUCAGUUAAUAGGUAGUACUGUUUUGUAAUUUAUAAAUCUACAAUACUAAUUAAUUAAAUAAGGUGCCCAGCUCGCCAACUUUAUAUUCACAAGUUGUAGAAGUUUGAGUAUCUUGAUCUUCCCAUGCACAGAUAAUUAGUAGGAAAAUAUAAUUAAUAAUAUCUACCAAUUAAAUUGAAGACCAAGAAGGAAAAGGAAAAAUUUUGUUUCUUAAAUUCACUAUAUUCUGUUGAAACAGAUAUUUAAUUAUGGUGUCAAUGGCCGUGCUAAUGCAUCAAUUGAAUCUAGCUAAUCUGAUCCAAAUUUUAAGAUCUGGAUCAUAAAUUUUAGGGUCUAAUAUUAGAACUUUUAUAUUUAAAUUUGAAUCUAUUGGAUCACAUAUUGUUUUUUUUCCCAAAACGCAACCAAGCCAAGAUCCUGGAUACCAUAUUAUCCAACAACUUAUUAUCAGUUAAAAAGUUUGAAUAUUUUGAAGGAUCAACCCAAACCCUGUUGGAUUAUGUAAAGCUAUAUUCCAAGUCGAUACGCAGAAUUUGACUCUAAUUGGAUGUAAUUUUGUUCCAAAAGAUUAGGAAUAGUCCAGAAUUACUUUAAAAAGUAUUCCUAAAAAGGAUAUUGAUAACUACAUGUGAAUCAAAUUUGGAUGGAAGGCAAAAAUUGUUUCCUACUAGAAUUAAAAUUUUAGGGUUAUAUAAACCCUUGUAAUUAAUCUUUUAGAUUAUGAGCUUCAUUGAAAAUACCAUAUUUGAGAGGAAUACGUGAAGGGCUCCUGAGAGAGGGUUUCUUGUAAUCCAAUUUAUUCUUUUGUACUUUUGUGCCAUGGAUUAAUCGAAGAAAACAUUGAUCGAGAUGGUUUUGCCCGUGGACAGAGGUCGACUCAAGGUUGGCCGAACAACGUAAAUCCUGUGUUCUUGUGAUCUCUUAUUUUCUUUAUUGCUUUAUUAUCCUCAUGCUUAUUUUUUCUACGAUCGUUCUCGUCUCUUACAUCUGUGAAAUAUUCUGUAUCCGCUACACUCGUGUGCUGUGUGGGUUUGAGGUGUGCUCGGUAACCCUAUAGCCGGUCCCUUCAAAGCAGACCCGUUUAAUCUACUCAAUACAUCGUUUGUUGCUUGAUUUCUUUGCUAAUUAGCUAAAAUUAAAUAAAAUAAUUUCCAUUGCUUAAAUUUAUUAGUAUGUUGGGAAAUGAAGUGCAAUAUCUAUGUUGGAUGCUACUGUUCGUUAUCUCUAUAUAUAUAAAGGGUGCUAUAAUUUAGUAGUGGCCACAAAUAGAAACCAUUAAAAUAACAUUAGUUUACUUGUGAAAUUGAUGAUUAGAGAUGGAGCAGGAAAAUGAGAAGGAAUCAAAUGUCAUGUGAUCCUCUCAGAUGGUGUUGGUCAUCUUGACUAUUCCUUUGGUUCAUAAACCACUAAACAAAGUGAAGCACAUGGUUAGACAUCAUUGCUUGUAACAUGAUCUUGUAUAACUAACUAACUAAAGGGUUUAGAGAAAGCCAUGAAUAAGUUUGUACAUAGCAUGUGAUGUGACAACCACAUGCAUGAUUAGGUAAUCCUUGUGGAGAGAGAGGGACAUUCACAUUCUUAUUAGUUCCCUACUUAUCCUUCUAUGAAGAUACAUAAAUGACGCUUGAGGAGAGAAUAAACAAAAGACUGAUUCAGGCCACUAUUAGUCUGUAUUGAAGUUCUUUUCUUUUCUUUUCUUUUUUCUUUUUGUGUGUGUAUGUGUGUGUUAGUUAAGUACAACUUCUCUUUUCUCUCUACACGUGGUGUAAAGAGGGGUUUAGUGAGAUGUAAUCUCUAUAGAUUAAAAAACAAAACACCCAAGAUGCAUUAUGGCUCACACUUCAUGGUGUUAAUACACUAUGGAAUUUUCUCUCAAAAAAAAAAAAAUACACAUGGAAUUGCAAAUGUCAGCGAGUAAACCCUAAAGACUACGAAUAGUUUGAUCAUUUGGUCGCAGAUUAGCUACAAACUUGCAAUGACAAAUGAUUACAUAUUUUGAAAAUAUAUGGUCUAUUUGGCUUUGCUAGUACUUCUGAAAAGGUGGUAAAUUAUCUAUGGAAAAAAGUACUAACCAUUUUAUCAUCAAAAACAAUUAAUUAUCGUAAAAGAAGUAUUUCAAAUUGAGUUUCUACUAUUAGGCUAUAAGUGUCUGUUUGGUCAUGUUGGAGGGUGUAAUAAUUUCCUCUGCUAUGCAUCUGAAUAGUGCAAUUAGGAGAAACACAAUAUCCUCGACUGCUUCUUUCUGCAACGCAAUUAGAACUUCUCUUUUGAUUAUCGGAAUCUCAUUUUCACUUCCACUACAACAGAAACUCCAAAUUCUUCUCUUCGCCAGAUGCUUUACUUAAUGCUAGCCGUUACUGAAAGUAAAAGCAGAUCCGAGUCGCACAAAACAAGUCCGUAGAAACUUCUACGUAUUUUUAUUUUCCAGUGGAAAGAAAAUGUUUCGAAAGCAAGCAAGCCAGCCAAGCAUUAGGGCAGCCAAAUCAGACAUGCAGAUCCACUGUUCUUGUGCUUACAAUCCCCCUGCACAACAGCAAAGAGGGUCUGAGCACAAAGAAAUCCACUUGGUUUUCAUGUGGUCAGUAGGGAGCAGGAAACUAACAAGUUGGGAGCACUCAGAAUCUUCCCCUGAUCUGUUAUUGCAGCUUCAACAAUUCACUGAAUUAAUGAGACCACCAGGGAUUAUUUCAAAAUUAUUAUCAUAAGGCAAGUGUAUCUGCUAUUGACCAUGAGAAGUUCCAUCAAAGCAUGAGAAGCUUUAUCAACUUGUAAAUAUUAACCUUUCACUCAUGAUCACUGCUGAGACGAAGACUAUGUAGGGGUCGACGUAGGGUCAUUGAUAUUUGCAUGUGACAGUCACACAUGGAAUUAAUACAACCCAAUAGUUUCAUUAAUUAGAAGGUUGAUACAUUCACACUGAUGGAUCCAAACCUACAAGCUCAGGCCUUGUGUGUUAGUGUUGCUACGUUUAAUUCUUUACAGCAAUAAAUUCUACCGAUAGUGUUUGUGAGCAGAUGGCAAAUUGCUCGCAAUGUAGAAAUUUACGAUUUUAAAGUUAGUGUCGUACUGGCAAUAAAAAGUAAAAAUAAAAUAAUAAUAAUAAGAAUAGCCUUUUUCUAGAAAAGAUAUUAUUUUGCAUGUAGUUGGGUGCACCGCAAACUAACCAAUAAUAAUAAUAAUAAUAGAGAAUUCUAUACUUGCUACAAUUAAUUAUAUUAAAUAUGUGUUAACAAGUAUGAAAAAGGACAAUGGUAUCAGAUGAGGCAUUGCACUUUUACAUUUGGAUGACCUUCAAUAGCUAUGUCGUGUUCUUAGGCUUAUACAUGUGGGUCUGAAUAGGAUUACCUCCAUGAGAGGUUUUUUUUUCCUUUUUUUUAUUUUGGAGAGACGUCUACUUUGCUUAUUAUGUUUUUGAAAACAAAUUUAACUAAAAAUACGAGGCUAGCUUCGAACAUGGAAUCUCGGGUACUGAUCAUCAAGUCCUUUAUUAUUUGCGUUAGGGACAAUCAAUCUCCGCUAGAGAUCAUUAUUAAUGAAAGGUAUUUUGAAGGCCAAGGGAUAGAGAUAUUGAAGAAUAAAGGAAUACCCCAUUAUUACAUAUCUUUAUCAUUUAUUUUAAGUUAAAAAUAUAAAUUAAUCAUUAGUUGAAAUUUCCAACCGUCGGUCUCUACAAGAGAUUAUUAAUGAAAGGUAUUUUGGAGGAGAUGGAAUAGAGAUAUUGAAGAAUAAUAAAGCGAUACCCCAUUAAUUACAAUUCUUUAGCAUUUAUUUCAAGUUAAAAAUUUAAGAGAAAACUUUAAAAAACCCUCCUGUGGUUUCGUAGUUUCUCACUUUGCCCCUCUGUGGUUUAAAAUGUAUCAAUUUACCCCCCUGUGGUUUCUUUUUUCUCUUUUUCUUAUCAAUUUCAUUAUUUUUUUUUCUUAAAUCAGUGAUAAACUUAAAAUUAAAGGGUACUAAAGUGAAUAUUUGAUAAAUCUAAAUGGGUAUCUAAAGUUUUUUGUAUAUAAUUUAAUGAAAUAUUAACGAAAAAGGUACCGAAAAGAUAAAAACGAAACCACAGGGGGGCAAAUUGAUACAUUUUAAACCACAGGAGGGCAAAGUGAGAAACUACGAAACCACAGGGGGGGGUUUUUGAAGUUUUUCCAAAAUUUAAAUUAACUAUUAGUUGAAAUUUUUUUUUUUUGAGAAAAGGUAGCAAGCUACCUGCUUCAUUCAUUAAGCAAAAUGAACUGAGCAAACAAGUUAGAAGCAGCUAGGGCUUCCGAAGAAACGAGAAAAAAACAGGUAAAAACAUAGAAAAGGAAACGGGAAAGCGAGCUAGGGAGAGAAGCUAAUGACGCGUCAGCGCAGAGCGGCCCAAUCGGUGAUCAGAAGAUUAACUCGUCCUAGAGACCUGGAAGCAUCGGGCGGGGUACCCCGGAAUAUGGCGUUGUUUCUGUCGCCCCAAACAAUCCACCAGAUUGCUGCGAGAAGGGUCAGUCCUUGUGUUCUCAAUGCAGGGAUGAUUGAAGUUUGUUCCCAGAGAUUUCGGGCGUCGUCCGUGGAACCAUUAUAUACCACCAAGCCUUCCGAACUGAAGAGGAGGUAUCGUACAUAGACACAAUUAUGGAAUAGGUGGUCGCAGCUUUCCGUAAGAACCGCGCAGAAGACGCAGUAUUGGUCUACUAGGACGCCUCAGUGAAGUAAUCUGUCGGCCGUGAGCAAUCUCUUCUGCAGUAGUAGCCAAACGAAGAUUUUGAUUUUAAGUGGGAUUUUGCAGCCUCCACAUGUGGGUGUUCGACAGGGUGCGCUGGCCAGAAUCCGUGAUAAAAUUGUAAAGAGAUUUGACAGAGAAAAGUUGAUUGGAGGUCCAUCUCCAUUUUAUCAUGUCCGGUCGGUUACUCAGAGUAUGGUGUAGGAGCAACUCUUUGAGCAUCGAAAGCUGUCUACGCCUUCCAACACAGUGUGAAGCCGCAAACCCACGGCAAAUGAAACGCCAUCUCCAUCCCUAGGGGGUCCAACAUUGGGAGACUGUAGCCUCAGUGUUCGAGACGUUCUGAAAAAUGUCCGGGAAUAAAGUGCGAAGAGGGGUCUCUCCCAACCAGAUGUCCGUCCACAUCCUGAUGUUUUUUCCAUCUCCAAGCUCGUGUGUUACUUCGCAAAUAAACACUUCGCGGCAUCGAAGCACAUUUUUCCACCACUGUGAGUAUGGGACGAAAGCCCUUCCCUCGUGUAGUGGUUUCCUUCAGAUGUAGUAGAGAGAUCAUAUCAGUUUGCACCAAAGCAGGUUUGGUUCGUUGAAGAAGCGCCACCACCAUUUGGUUAGUAGAGCCAGAAUCAUGGAUUGCAUGUCCAAAAUCCCUAGUCCGCCUUCUCUCUUGUUUUUGCAAACGGAAUUCCAACUGACGAGACAUGCGCCUCCUGCAAUGUUGGAACGCCCUUUCCAAACGAAGGCUCUUCUGAGGGCUUCGAUCCUGUGAAGAACCCAGUGUGGCGCUUUGAAGAUGGAGAAGAAGAAGAGCGGGAUGUUAGUGAGGACCGAGUUUACCAGGGUGAGUCUUCCCCCCGUGGAGAGGAGCUUAGCUGAAAUUUUCAACAGCUUAAUUUCUUCAUUUAAGUUAUAUAUUAAUACUCCACUAUUUUUCCUUUUUUGUCCAAGUAUAUAUAUUUUUUUCAAUGCUAGGUUAAGAACAUUAAAUGAUAUAUUCAUCAUUGUCUUCCAACCAAGUGACCAACCGAUACAUAUAUCUACAUCAAGAAAAGGUUUUAUCUCCAACCACUGUUUGGGGAGUUGAUAAAUACAUGUUCUUUGAUUGUGACAUACAUGGAACUAGCUAGAUCCUUUAGAGCAUUUAGAAAAAGGUCAAUUUUAAGUCAAAGGACAUUUAAUUUGGUUAUGUGUUAUCACACUCCAAAGUUAUUAUGAUCAUCACUGAUUGGUCCUCUCUCUCUACCCACUAUGAUCAUUACUAAUUUGUCCUCUCUCACUAUAGACGAGUUAUAAAUGCUCAAUUGCCCGCAAAUCAUGAGCAACAAAUAAAUCUUUUUUGUGGUAAAUAAUGUGUAGAUCUUAUGUAAACUAUAGAACAUUUUUAAGUAAAUACUUAAGCUUCAAAAAUUAGAUUUUUGCAUAAUUUUACACCUUUUUAUUUAAGAAAUUUCUAUGCUUAAGGAAUUGUAUAUAAUUAAUUAUCUUUCAAAUAACAAAAUAUUUUAAUAUAUUGCAGAUAGAAUAUUUUAUAAAAAUGUCGAAAAUGCUAUUUCGGAAAUUAAAUUGAAUAUACAAAUCAAACUUAUAAUUUGAUAGAUAAUUCUAUUAAAGUUCAAAUAUUUAUCUAAAAAAUGUACUGUAAUUCUAGUAAAAUGCAUUAAGUACUUUUCCACUCUUUGUCUUUUCACAUAGAAAGGGCGUAACAUUUAUAUUUCAUCGGAUUUACAUCAUAUAUAAAUACAUAUCAUAUAUCCAUAGAAGCUAUCUUUAGAAUCUCACAUUGUUUGAUAAUUCUUGUCUAUAUAUGUAAUUGGACUUGAACCAGCGAGAAUGUCAUGAUCUCAGUAGGGAAAGUCUGUAAUGGCAAAAUAAUCUCACAUUGGAUAGAAAAUUGAUUAUCAUUGAAUACCCAAUGAGGAAUAAUAUAUGCAUAUAUGGAGGAAUGCUAGAUUUAUAAUCCAAAAUAGGUUAUAAUUUUACAAUUCAUCAUUUAAGGUCCAACUUUUCUACAAUAUAGUCUUGUCUUUUUUUUAUAAAACCCACAAAGGAGUUGAGUAUACCCUAGUUGCCCUUCGACGAACGGUUAUUGCAAUACCUUUUUGAUUGUAAACAUACCAAAAUAAACCUAAAAAAGAAUCAAAGAGGACGAUAUAUCAAAUCGUUGGGACUAACCAUUAAUCCUAAAUAUUCGAGCUGUUAAAAAUAGAUAACCAAUUCACUUAAAGUGUACAGACAUAGGCUCACAAGUCUCGAUUGUGAAUCGGCCCAACCGGUUUCACGCCACUUCGAAUAUGAUUCGGUCUAACCCAGUCUUACACUACUUCGAAUAUGACUCGGCCCAACCUGACCUUCCGCCACAAGGCAGAAUGCUGGUCCCUUUAAGCCAAUAAUCUCCCCUCCAACACCUGCACAAAUUUUCAUCAUGCGGAAAUCAAAUCCAUGAUCUCUGGGUCUUAUACCACUUGUCGGAUCGUUGGUGCUAAUUAAUCCCAAAAGCUCGAGCUAUUAGAAAUAGACAACCAAUUCUUUUAAAGCGUACAGACACACCACCUACGGGUCUCUAUUGUGAUUCGGCCCAACUAGCCUCAUGCCAUUUUGAAUAUGACUCGGCACAAGCUAACCUCACGCUAUUUCGAACAUGACUCAACCCAAUCUGUUCUCCCGCCACAAAGCAAGACGUUGGUCCCUUUAAGCCAACAAAAUAGUGCUAGCUAGAAUCAAUGGUAUGUGCUGUAGAAAUUCCUGAGUCACAAAUAUAAAGUUCAAAAUCAAUUCUAAGUGCAUAUAUAAUUUAAUUCUCUAAAUUUGUAUUCUGCUAUUAUUUUUUAAUAAUAAGUUUUUUGAAAAAAAUAGAAUAGAAACUAUGUGAUGGUAAGAUGCUGUACUUUAAGUAAUGUGGUCAAUUUAGCAUUAAAGUUCAUGAAAAAACAUGACUCAACUAAGCUAGGCUGGAAAUCUUGUUGAAUUCGAUAAUUUUCACAACCAGCGCAGAAAAUCUUUAAAGGGUCAUAACUUUUCGGUCGGAUGUCCAUUUUCACUGUACAACCCUAACUCAGAAAACACUUUUCGAGAUCUACAUGUUAAUUAGUAAAGCUGUUUGGCUGACUUUGGGGCCCAAAUUCAACUAUUUAGACCUCUAUUUUUGCAUUUUUAAAAUAUUUUUGAAAAAAAAAAAUUUUUUGCUUUGAAUUUGGUUAUUUGGUUAUUUGUGUUUGGUUUAGAUUUAGAGAUAAAUUAAGAUUUAUUAUCUUCUAUCAUAGUAGGAUUCAAGUAAUAUUGCUUCUAUAUAUACAUGAUUUUCGGUUAAUAUAAUUAGUUUUUAAAGUCAAUUAAUAAUAUUUUUCUCUUUAUUGUAGAAUUGUAUUCUUCAUGCAUGUAUCUCUUUUUUUUCUUUUCAAGUGAUCGUUUAUAACCGAAAACGUCUUCACCACUCUCUACUUUCAUCCAAACAAGCAAGCCCUUAGGCGUGCCGCAUUAAAUCAUAGAGUAGCUGGAUUAAUUCUUCUAUAUUUUUUGGAACUCAAAAAGCAAUAUAAAGAGAAAAGUUGCAUGUGGAAUCUCUGUCCCUCUCUCAACCCCUCCCUACAUGCCUCAAGACGCUUCUUCAGAAAAAAAAUCUACAGUGUCAUUCUUGUACCAUACCAUCAGUAACAAACUAAUCGUAUCUCUCUUCCUGAAAGAAAAGUACGAUAAAAUUAUUUUUCUAUUAAUCAUGAUGGAACAGGUGAACCUAAAAGGAACAAUCCUAUUGAUUGAAAACGCCGUACCAGUAAUAUAAUUGGUAAAUUCUAAAAUUUUUUCUUUCUUCACGCACUUUUCUCUCUCUCAACCUCUCUUCUCUCAACCCUAGCGCGCAUGAGUUCCUAUUGGCCCAUUCGCUUUAUAGCUUUUUUCCUUUUUCUCCCGAACACCAAGAGUGUGCAACACACCCCCACCCCCCGAAAGAGGCGGUGAGUACAACUGCAUGUCCCAGCCCAUGAAAGCACAAUUUAAUGCUGUGUCCUCUCUCACUCUACGUACUGUGCUUAAUAUUGCUACUACCACAACCGGAUAAUAUAUAUUUUGGGCUCCGUGGGUAAAAGAUUUAUGAAACUUACGCCUACUAUAGACCAUAUCGAGUUUUCUUUAGGUAAAAGAUUUAGGAAACUUACUCGUAUUAUAGACCAUAUCACUCUACACUUUAAAAUAUUGAUUUUAGUAUCCAAAUUUUUAAUUACUUUGAUUUACAUAAUUUGAUAGCUCUUCAUAAAUAAAAUAUAAGCUAAUUGCUUACUUUAAUCAAUUUAUAGUUACAUAAAUUAUAUAAAUUAUAAUAAUUAAAUCUGUAAGGAUAAAUGACUGAUUCAACUUUCGAGGUUAAAAUGUCACUAAUUAGUCCAAAUCAAAUAAAUUUGAAGAUUAGGCAGUAAAAGUAAAAUAUUUAAAGAUUAGCUAGUCAAAUAAAAAUUCAUGAUAGUUGGGAUGAAUUUUAUACAUUUUACAUUUUUUUUAUAAUAAUUAAGAAAAAAAUACAAAACUAUAUAUNNACUACUUUGAAUAGGCUACCCAUCUUUUAAAAUUUUGAUUUUACUACCCAACUUUUCUUGAGUCGGUGAGUGGCACUUUGAUUUUAAAAUUUAAGCUAAUUAUUUAUUUUAAUGAAUUUCUUAUUGCAAGAAUUAUAUGAAAUAUAGUAACUAAAUCUGUACCAAGAUAAACAAUACAUUUAAAUAUUGAAAUCAAAAUGCCGUUGACCGACUUAAAUCAAAUAUAUUAAAAUGUUGGAUAGUAAAUUAAAAUUUUAAAAAUUUAGAUAGAUAAAUCAAAAUAAUCCAUAGUUCAAGUAAGUUCUAUACGUUUUAACCUAAUAAUUAUUUAAUAUAAGAACAAUGAUAAUUAAUUAAAACUUUCUACGGUAAAUUAACUUCAAUUUGCCCCACUUAUAGUUUAUCUAUAUUUUUUCACAUCACCACCCAAUAGUUCAAAAAACUGUGCGUACGCUAUUGUGAUUUUAUUUAUAUUUAUUUCACCAUAAAUACUACUCUAUUAUAUUGUGAUUUUAUAUUUAUUUCACCAUAAAUACUUAAUAUUAAACACGAUAACAAAAGAAUAUAUUUUAUAGGUACAUGUUGGUACAAUUAAUAUUAUUCUAAUAUUUAAUAAUCUGCACUUUACUAUUUUGUGAUUUGUAAUAUUACUUUAUUUUUUAAAGGCAAGUCUCUAUAAUGAAACAGUAAAUAAAAUCUCGGGAUAGUUGAUUACCAAGGUGACAAAGCUGCGAAGAGAAGUUUACUAAAUUUUUUAUCUUGCAUAAAACUGUACUUUUUGAGUGAAAUUAAGUGCAACAUUUUAAUUAGAUCAUCAUUGUAGCGCAUAUGGCCGAAUAGAAUUAAUUUGAUAUAAAUUCUAUGUGAUGUACAUACAUGUUAGAAGUUCAAAAGAAGACUUUCUCCCUGUGAAGUACUGAUAUGUUGGAUCUUGAACUAGAAUGCGAUUGAUGAGAUAUAUAGAAUGUGAUUGAUGAGACAUCUUUGCACACAUGAUAUAAAGUUGGUGAUUAGAGAUUAAUUAAUUUUACUUUCCAUAGUUAAUUUUCAUAUAUACCUAGUAUCAUGUUGGCAAUUUGAAAAAGAUAAACCACUAGCAAUCUACUAUCUGUACAAGCCCAACUGAUUAACCCUAUUUUCAUACUUCAAGAUACCUAUAAGACUAAAAAUCUGUUCGACCUUACUGUAGGAAAUAGUUUGAAUUUAUGACGUGUUAUUUAAAAGUACUUCAGGGCUUGAGAAUUUCAUUUCUUUCUUUUUACCUAAUGGAAACUUGAAAGUUUUCAAUUCACAAUAUGUACUACAGAUAAACACACUUCUUAAGAGGAAACAAAAAAAAAUGAAGAAGCAAAGAAACAGGCAUGACAUUGUAAUGCCCCAAACUGAUUGUAGUAGUAAUGAAUCCAACCUUCCUCAAUGAAUGCACGGAUGAGCCAGACAUGCCAAUUCAUUCUUAGCUAGCUAGCAAGCCUAUCACAAUAAUUGUAGGCUAACAAAGCUGCCCAUACAGGUUCCCUUAAUGUACCCAGACAUCACUGUCGAGCUGUGGGCGUGCGUGUGGGCGUGUGUGUGGUCGUGGAUCUGUCAAUUGCGAUGCGUCCUUCUGAGUGCGCACAUCUUGUCGGAAGCUCUAGAGCCUAUUUGGUUCGCCCAUUUAAGAAUAACAAUUUAAUAUCAUAUAAAAUUUAGAAUUUUCAUCUGUGUAUAAUACAAUUUUUUGACUUUGUUUGAUUUAUCAAUUUUGUGAUGUUUUUCUAAAAAAAAUUAUAUAUUUCAUAUAGAAUUGCAAGUCAUGAAUUUUUAAUAUACUCGGAAGCUUCCUAUAUUUCUAUCUAAUAGAUAUAUUAAAAUAUCAUUUGGUGUAUGUUUUUUUUAUUACCAUAAUUAAUGGGAAUGAACACUCUAUUAAUAAGAAUAUACAAAUUCAUUGCACCCUCUCAGUCUAAGUACAUGGCAUUGUGACAAUCUUGUCACUUCAAAUAGAAAAUACGACAUUUUCUAGAGUGCCAUACAUUAUUGGUGAGACCAACAACUUUGUAGAGUCUAUUUGGAUGUCGAAACAUGUUAUCUAAUAAUAAUUUAGUCAAUAUGAGGGCAUUUUUUUGUAAGUGAAAGUUAGAUUUUAACUCCUUACGCGGUAUUCCAGUUAUCAGGGACCAAGCCAGGAUUUAAUUCUGGGGGAGGGCCAAAAAUAUAUUAUGCAAAAUAUAUUAAUAAAACAAACUAUAUAUAAUAAAAAUUUAAAGUACACAAAUACAAAAAAAAAAUUUUAAAAAUUUUACGUACCAUACAAAAAUUAGAAUAGUGCUCAGCGCUCCUUCAAGUCACGAAAUUCAUCAAUAAUUGAAUCAAUAGUAAACUUCUCGGCAAUUUCUCUUUCAAUAUACACGAUCAAAGAAUUAGUGAGAAAGUCAUCAUCCAUCUUAUUCCGAAGAUCGGUUUUGAUAAUACUCAUCGCGGAAAAUGCCCGUUCAGUUGUUGCAGUUGAAACUGGAAGAAGUAAUACAAGUUUAACUAAUCUGUAGAGAAGUGAAUAUAUUUCUGACUUUCUUGUUGCCACCAACCAUUGACAUAAUUCAGAAAUAGUUGUCAAUUACUUAAAUAGUUGAACAAACAACAACUAAUAAAUCAAGAGCGUACCAUACAAUGACAUAAAAGAAAAUAUUUAGUUAUUCACGAUUGACGGUUCACUCACCGAUCAGGCGGUCACCAAAAAAUUAUUCAAAAGAAGCUGAUAGUCCAGAAGGGUGUAGGCGUGUAGCCGUGUAGUUCGAGGCGCCGAGCGGCCCGAGCCCGAGCGGACGAGCGGCGAGGGGCGAGCACCACCGGCGGCCAGCGUUCGGCGGUCCGGCAAGCUAGAGAGAGAUUGAAAUUUGAGAUAAGUUAGAGAAAGAGAGAGCUCUGAGCCUGUGACUCUCGGAGGCUGGGAAAUGGGAAUGGAAGUGUGGAAAUGGGAGAGAGAGAAAGAAAGUGUGGAACUGAGAGAGAGAGAGAGAGAGAGAGAGAGAGAGAGAGAGAGAGAGAGUAUGGUUAAUUAGUGUGGAUUGACAGAUUGUGGUGCACUGGUGUGGGAGGAGGCGCCGAGGCGACUGGCGAGCGUCGGGCGAGCGGCGGGCGGCGCCUGGGGGUGGGCAUCAUGAUGCAUGCGUCAUGCUGCUCAUGCAUGAAGCGUGGCCCACAAGCAACUUUAGUGUUCAAAACAAUUGCAGUUUGGUCCCUAAAAAUUAUAAUAUUUUAAUUUUUUGAACAACUUAAGACUAAACCUUUUUGUAAUUUUAAAAAGUUUGGGGGGGCCAUGGCCAUUGUCGGCCUAUGCAUGGCCUCGUCCCUGCCAGUUAUGAUUCGAUAGGAUAGUGACGUAGGCUUAAAAGCUGUCUGAUAUAAGAUGAGUAAGGAUGGAAAAAUUAAUGAACUACUUUACUUCAGGAAAUAGGACCCUCAGACGAGUGUCAAACAGUAAUUCUGCAGUAUGCGGAUGACACAUUAUUCUUCGCAAAGCCCAAGAUGUCUGCUAUGCGUAAUCUACUUUUUAUCUGGAAGAUGUUUGAAUGGGCAUCUAGCCUUAAGAUAAAUAUGAACAAGACGGAACUUUACCACUUGGGAAUUACCGCAAACAGAGCGAAACGAUAUGCGGACAUUUUGGGGUGCAGAGUCGGUAGCCUACCGUUCCGCUACUUGGGCCUUCCGCUACAUAUCAACCCCCUUCGUAAGGAAGAGUGGAUGCCGAUCAUCAACCGCAUCGAGACGCGCAUUGAAGGAUGGAAGGCAAAACUCCUCACACAAGGGGGGAGACUCAUCUUGGUCAACUCGGUACUCUCGAAUCUUCCGUUAUUCUACUUUGCAAUCUUCAAAGUACUGCAAUAGGUGCUGAAACGAAUUGAAGCGCUUAGAAGAUCCUUUUUUUGGAAAGGGUGUUCCAAAAUUUCGAGUGGUUCUUGCCUCGUGGGUUGGAAAACGAUUUGUAGGAGCAAAAAAGAAGGAGGUCUAGGGAUAAAAGAUAUGGAAGCUAUGAAUAAAGCGCUUUUAGCAAAAUGGUGGUGGCGUUUUUUCAACGAGAAAUGUCUGUUAUGGGGGAGGUUGAUCACUGCAUUAUAUUACACCAGAAGACGGCCGCUACGCGAAGGUAGAUCCUUCAGACCUUACUCUCAGUGGUGGAGAAGUGUGAUGAGCUGUCAAGACGUGUUCAAAUGCGGUAUUUCGUAUGUUCUCGGCGAUGGGAAAAAUAUCAGAUGGUGGUCGGAUAUUUGGAUCGAUGAAACCUCUCUUAGUACCCGAUUUCCACGAAUCUUCGGCAGUAUCACAAAUAAGAAAGCCACGGUCUCACAAUGUUGGAACGAAAGAGGGUGGAGAUGGCGCUUCUUAACCAGCUUUGAUACGCCUACCAAUGGUCAGAACUGCCAACAGGCGGCGUUGUUCAAAAACCUUCUCUCUCACUAUAGCCCAUCAGAUUCACAGGACAAACUAAAGUGGCGUUGGACCGCCAACCAAAUCUUUACCGUCAAAUCACUUUAUGAAUUCAUCACCGACGGAGGACAGACUGAUACUUCGUACGAUCAUCUAUGGGGGUUAAAAAUCCCGCUCAAACACAAAGUUUUCAUUUGGAUUCUACUUCGAAAGAGAUUACCUACGGCAGACAGAUUGCUUCGCCGAGGGUGUAUUGUGGAUCAGCACUAUAGGUUCUGUGUGUUACUAGCCGAAACCGUUGACCACCUAUUCCACGACUGUAUCGUCGUCAGAUUUCUUCGUUGUAAAGCAGGAGCCUUAGUGGAGGAGAUUUCGGAUGUGGGGGAUGUAUGUCACCUGUGGACACAGAUCUCGGACAUUCCCGAGGCCAUUACAAGAUCAAAAUUGUUAACCAAAUUGGCGGCAAUUUGGUGGGUUGUCUGGAGCGUAACGGCGUGUGCUUCCGCGACGUGCCCCUUAAUGUUUCCAGGACUCUCGAACGUGUCGCCGUUUUGAUCGAAGCCUGGAACGAAGCACUUUGAUUAUCUCCCGGCCUUGGUGCUCUACCCUCUGUUUACCCUUUUGUUUAUUUUGGUUUGCUCGUGUUUACUGGGUCUCAUGGACCUGGUUUUUGUUGUCUUGUUGUUUUCUCUUGUUUUUCUCCUCUUGUUCCCUCGAUUCGGAGGCCCUGGCUGCUUCCAAAUUGUAUGCUAAAUUCAUUUUGCUUAAUGAAUGAAGCAGGUAGCUUGCUACCUAUUUCUCAAAAUAAUAAUAAUAAUAAUAAUAAUAAUGAACUACAAAAUCUCCUUCUACAAUAAGUUUUGAGUCCUAUUUAUAAUGAAAUUAAGAAAAUUCAAAUCCUAUUCUAUUCUAAAUCAAAUCUCAAAAUUUUAUCAAUUUUACUAAAACGAAUUUAUUUAAUCCUAAUUUAAAACUUUCAAAGUCACAUCCCUAAUUUUUAGGAAAUUGUUCCUCAUAAAAAAUCCUAAAAAAUAAAAAAUUACUAACAUAAAAUUAAAAAUUAAAAAAAUAAAAUUAUAAUCCUAAUUAUUUUUUUGACUACGUUAUUCACAGCAGAUCUC
rnacentral:lncRNA from 1 species